rnacentral:misc_RNA from 1 species
CACCUCAACCGGCACUGGAGGAAAAGCUGCGCUUCUUCCCACAUGCAUAGGUUUCACAACCUUCCCAGCCGGAGGAGAUAACCGAGGCUCAAUGGUCAACCCGGAUUGAGCGGCUGCAGCUGCAGCAGCAGAUUCACCCGGCUGUCGAAGGAGACGGAGCUGCUUCACGGCCCGAUGAAGCCGCUCCAACCGAAAUGUCUCGCCGUCAAAAAACAAAACGGCAUCGUUUUCCUUGUAAUCCUCGCUGCUACCUUCAAAUGUGACUUUAGGUUUUCCCA